rnacentral:tRNA from 2 species
GGUCCUAUAGCUCAGCUGGUUAGAGCACUUGACUCAUAAUCAAGGGGUCCAUGGUUCGAGCCCAUGUGGGACCA